UGGUCAGUGAUGACUAGCCCACUGCGCAAUCUUAUUUCAUAAGAAAAAUAUGAUAGAAAAUGUGCUGUACAAGGUUCUGAGACCA